UCCGUUCUUGGUUGGUGUGCUAUGUAGC
rnacentral:sRNA from 1 species